rnacentral:lncRNA from 1 species
AAUAUAAAAAAUACUUCCUGCUGUAACUGUGGAUGUUUUCUUCUUCCAGAUGAAAGAUCUGUUUUGUGGAGUCUCACAGAGGUCUGAUAACUUGAGUCAGCCAACUGAACUUUGAACUCGUCCUUUAAGUGAUAACUUGGUGUCCAAAUUUAAUGAACAAUAAAGGCAAACAAGGGCCCGCCCUCGACCUGUCGUGACAGAGAGGCUGCCGCCUGGAGGCCAUGAGCGGGAAGCGCGAGGCGGCGGCGCUGAGGCGGCGCUUGUGGCGGGGAUGGCAGUGUUGCAAACUCUGUGUGUAAUUAGUAAAAUGUAAACUCAGGCUUGAAGUGGAAUAGCCUCCAUCUUCCAGCAUUUGGUGCCAAGAUACCCUACUUCCAUAUAGAUGGAGGAGAAAUCUUGUCCUGUGAAGGACCUGCCCCAUGUGCUUUUGAAGCUAUUCAAAUGGUCCAUUCUUGGUUGCCUUCAGCAUCAAAUUUUCGGGUCCGUUUCACAUCUGAGAUCUGCUGCUCCCCCCCAGCGUGGUACACAAGGUGGAAGCAAGCUGCUGGAGAAAGAAAAUAAUCUUACCCUGAUGGCUGUCUUUGCCUAUAAACUUAGAGUGGUAGAAAAAUGUUUGCAGGAGUUUCAGGCCUUUAUCAGAACUAGCACCUGCUCUGAGGGGAGCAAAGUACUUUCAGGGAAUAUUAUAAACUCUUCUGGUCAAGGUCCCUGUCUUUAUGGCCCACUUGUAUUCAGUGAGGUUAAAGAAGUUCUGAGAUCGCACCCAAGAAAAUUAUUACCCAAAGAUGAUGUGUCUUUGCUCAGAUUUCAUACCACCAUGGAUGAGUGCUGUCUGUAA